UGGGGAAUAUUGGACAAUGGGGGGAACCCUGAUCCAGCAAUGCCGCGUGUGUGAAGAAGGCCUGAGGGUUGUAAAGCACUUUCAGAGGGGAGGAGGACUAUUAGGUUAAGAGCUAGAUAGUUGGACGUUACCCUCAGAAGCAGCACCGGCUAACUCCGUGCCAGCAGCCGCGGUAAUACGGGGGGUGCAAGCGUUAAUCGGAAUUAUUGGGCGUAAAGGGUGCGUAGGUUGUUUGAUAAGAUAUAUGUGAAAUACCUGGGCUCAACCUGGGAAGGUCAUAUAAGACUGUCAGACUCGAGUAUGGGAGAGGGUAGAGGAAUUUCCGGUGUAGCGGUGAAAUGCGUAGAUAUCGGAAGGAACAUCGGUGGCGAAGGCGUCUACCUGGCCUAAUACUGACACUGACGCUGAGGCGCGAAAGCCAGGGGAGCAAACGGGAUUAGAUACCCCCGUAGUCCCUGAGCGGGCUGGCAAGGCG
rnacentral:rRNA from 1 species